GACGAACGCUGGCGGCGUGCUUAACACAUGCAAGUCGAACGGAAAGGCCCUGCUUUUGUGGGGUGCUCGAGUGGCGAACGGGUGAGUAACACGUGAGUAACCUGCCCUUGACUUUGGGAUAACUUCAGGAAACUGGGGCUAAUACCGGAUAGGAGCUCCUGCUGCAUGGUGGGGGUUGGAAAGUUUCGGCGGUUGGGGAUGGACUCGCGGCUUAUCAGCUUGUUGGUGGGGUAGUGGCUUACCAAGGCUUUGACGGGUAACCGGCCUGAGAGGGUGACCGGCCACAUUGGGACUGAGAUACGGCCCAGACUCCUACGGGGGGCAGCAGUGGGGAAUAUUGCACAAUGGGCGGAAGCCUGAUGCAGCAACGCCGCGUGCGGGAUGACGGCCUUCGGGUUGUAAACCGCUUUCGCCUGUGACGAAGCGUGAGUGACGGUAAUGGGUAAAGAAGCACCGGCUAACUACGUG
rnacentral:rRNA from 1 species